rnacentral:rRNA from 1 species
GACGAACGCUGGCGGCGUGCUUAACACAUGCAAGUCGAACGGAAAGGCCCUGCUUGCCGGGUACUCGAGUGGCGAACGGGUGAGUAACACGUGGGUGAUCUGCCCUCCACUUCGGGAUGAGCCUGGGAAACUGGGUCUAAUACCGGAUAGGAGCCAUUUUUAGUGGGAUGGUUGGAAAGUUUUUUCGGUGUAGGAUGAGCUCGCGGCCUAUCGGCUUGUUGGUGGGGUAAUGGCCUACCAAGGCGGCGACGGGUAGCCGGCCUGAGAGGGUGGACGGCCACAUUGGGACUGAGAGACGGCCCAGACUCCUACGGGAGGCAGCAGGGGGGAAUAUUGCACAAUGGGCGCAAGCCUGAUGCAGCGACGCCGCGUGGGGGAUGACGGCCUUCGGGUUGUAAACGCCUUUCGCUAGGGACGAAGCUUUUUGUGACGGUACCUAGAGAAGAAGCACCGGCUAACUACGUG